CACUCGCCGCCGCACUGGGGAAAUUUCCGACCGCCGAUCAAGGUAAAUUUCAUACCCCCGACUCGUUUUUCCCCACUGAUUCCUCCUAUGGCCAAAUCGAAGCCGAAAUCCCGGCCAAACGGCCGGAAUACGCGGCCGAAGCCCAGCGGCGCCGCCGCGCCCCCUCUCGGUUUUUGCCUCCGACGAGGCCCUUCCCGGCCUCCGUUCGAUGCAAUUUUUAUAUCACCGUGAUCACCAUUCUUUUCUCUACAGGUUGACCGAAGCCAAAUCACCAAAACACGAACCUCGCC
rnacentral:lncRNA from 1 species